AAGAGCUACAUACUAUACCUCGCACAUAUAGCUGUAUACGGAAAUACCAUUAAUGUGGUUCUGAGUCUUCUAGCCUUCCCAACAGGUGGUGGGAGGAAGGGUCACCUGAAGGCUGACCGAUGGUUGGUGACACGGAAGAAGGGAGAGCCGUUGGUAGAGACAACUGUCCUGAAUGAUAGUCUGACCUUUUUCUCCACUACUUGUCUAUGCAUAGGUUG